rnacentral:lncRNA from 1 species
AUGCCUUGCACGCUGCAGCGUUGUGAUUUUUUAUUACUGCAGGUGCUAAAUAAAUCCUCAGUGAUGGAGCCCGGAGCCAAACACAUUUAUCCUUGUCACCUCUCCAAUUCUGUGCAGCUGGAAUGGAGCCCAAGGCUCAGGAGAUGCAAUAAAUCUGCUCUCUGGGCUCCACCCGUUUCUCCACCAAGCAGAUGUGGUCGCCGGGAGCCAAGGCUGGAGGAAUGGACUGAGGCCCUCCACCUCUCAAGCCAAGUGUGACCACAAGCUCAAGACAGCAGUUUUGUUGCUGCCUCCACCCCCUGCAGUGGAUCCCUGGAUUGAGAAGAUCCCCUGGAAAAGGGAAAGACUACCUACUCCAGUAUUCUGGCCUGGAGAAUUCCAUGGACUAUACAGUCCAUGAGGUCACAAAGAGUCGGACAUGACUGAGUGACUUUCACUUCACUUGGGAACCAAUAUUAGCUUUAGAGGCUUCCCUGGUGACUCAGAGGAUAAAGCAUCUGCCUGCAAUGCUAGAGACCUGGGUUCAAUCCCUGGGUUGGGAAGAUCCCCUGGAUAAAGAAA